CUGUACCAGGGCUUGAGAGCCUGAUUGCUUGCCUGUGGGAGCUGUGGUGGCUCUUUCAUGCCCCUGUGAUGUCUCCAACCAUCUUUUCAUUCCAGACUGGUUGAGGGUGCAUCAAAUUUCUUCUUAAUCUGAGGAAGAUGGUUGAGAGAUUAGAGAAGCAGGUGGUGCACAGCUGAUUGCUGGUGGCUGUUAGCUGCCUCUUCAAUAUGCAGAGCUCAGGCAGAGAGCAAAAAAGAAAAGGAAAUAUAUUGGAAGUGGCUCAGGCUUUUACUGCUUGGCCUGUGGUUUAGUGGUUGAAAUGGGACCAGAGAAGCUGGGACAUGGCAGCUGCGUUGCCUGAGGAGGGAAGUGUUACUUCGUUACAUAGAAGACAACAGCAUCACUUCAGAUCUGGAUGUAGAUGGCCUUGGAGUUGCUAACAGUUGAAUCAAAAGAGAACGGGCCAGAGAGAGGCAGGAUUUUGGUUCAUGCUGAGGUAGUGUGGUGCAAAGCAAGCAGAAGGACUUCAGCUGAAGACUGUCUAGGCUGGAGAAACUGGAGGCUUGGUUUCCAGAAAGAGGAGCUGGUGCCAUGAGAUGGGUUCCAGAGAGAAAAAGGGGCCCAAAGAGAAGGUGAAGAUCCUGGCUGGAGGAUACAUCUGGGAAGUGAGGGAAGAUCCUGGAGGUGAGGUAAAUUCAUGGAGACCAAUGCCAGGGGAUGCCCAGCACCAAUAAUAGUGCCUGAGACCAGAAACUGCAAGCAGCAACCCAGCAGAAUCCAGCAGGACUUUCUGCCCAACUUGCUCUAGUCCAUGACCUGCCUGUAGGGAAGUCCUUGGGAACAUCAUGGGGAAGCUGUAACAGCCAUAGAGAAUAAGCAUAGAAAAAAGCCAAACACUGUUGAAGUUUCUGCAGAGGUGAUAUUCUUUUUUUUUUUCCUGAGGAUUCUGGAUGAACCUUAAAGCAAGCUAUGAGAUGGAGAAGGAAGCAGGGAGGGGGAAGUGCUGCUGUUAAUUUGGCAUUCAUUUUAAGGAGCUGAACUGCAGCCAGAAGUAGUGCAGAUGGCAUCUCAAUUCCCUCUUCUUUUGAAGAAAAUGUAUUUUUAAUACAGUAACUUUUUUUUUCCAUUAAGACAUUUUUAGCUGUGGAACAAGGACAGUUAAAGGCAGUAGUUAAACCCCCAGCUUUUAGAUGACAUUUCUGAAAGCAGUUUAUUUCUUGGAGUGGUAGAUGUAUGAAAGAUACUGUUUCUUCAAAGCCACAACAAGGAGCUGGGUAGUAAGGACACUAGGGGCUAGUUGGCAGAUGCCCUAGGAAGGAAGCAAAGGGACAGGACAGGUGAUACUGUUGCUUUUGCAUAUGGGUGUGGUGGUGACUGGGGAAUUUGUCUGUAUUAAACUGUAUCUUCUACUGUUCUGGACAGAUCCUACCUCUAAGCUUCUCCAGAUAAACUGCGUUCCAGACACCUGCUCAGUUCUCUUACACCUGAUUAAAUACCUAUCUGACUGCCAUCAGGGCUGCAAAUCUGCAUGAGGUGAAAGCAUACCAUGCUUUAGGUAUGGUAUUUUAUAAAUUAAUUCUUUCAGUUAGGGAUUUUUCUGAGAGUAAUUUUUUUCAUGAGCCUAUUUGUGAAACAUUCUCUUAGGUAAACUCCAAAGCAAAGAUAAAAUUUGAACUAAAAUACCAAACAAGCUGCUGUGUGCAUUUGCCUGUCACUAAGAUAUAGCUCAUAUUUUGGCAAAUUAUUGCAUCUCUAAUUUGAUCUUCAGACUUCCUAAUAUAUUGAAAACAUUCCCAUAGGGCACGAUCAGCACUGCCAUAGUACAACUCAUGCUUGAUAGCAGUAUGAAUCAGGAAGUGCCACUUAAAAGACUUUACAAGGAAAGCUAUCUCUUGAAAUCAGCAGUUAGUGUUUUGUUAAUAUUUAUUUGUGUAUCUCAACAGCUAAAGAAUCUAGAGCUUGAUUUUUACGGAAGACCAUUAAAUUGAUAUUAGAACCAUUGCUUCUAGUUCCUUUUGAGAGACAAAAUUCUGAGAUUUCACCAUUAAAUAAAUGAAAGAAAGACUAAGAGGAUGUGACA
ensembl:lncRNA